CGUCUCGGCUCGAGUCCUUUGGAAGAAGGCAUCCAUAGAGGGUGAGAGUCCCAUAUGUGGCUGAGAUGGCGCAGCGUACGGUCUGUUUUCGAAGAGUCGAGUUGCUUGGGACUGCAGCUCAAAGUUGGAGGUAAAUUCCUUCAAAGGCUAAAUAAUGGCGAGAGACCGAUAGCGAACAAGUACCGUGAGGGAAA
rnacentral:rRNA from 12 species